rnacentral:rRNA from 1 species
AGAGUUUGAUCCUGGCUCAGAACGAACGCUGGCGGCAGGCUUAACACAUGCAAGUUGAACGGGAUUUGUAUGGUGCUUGCACCAUGUAAUGAGAGUAGCGCACUGGUGAGUAACACGUGGGAACAUACCUUGAGGUGGGGGACAACAGUUGGAAACGACUGCUAAUACCGCAUAAUCCCUGAGGGGGAAAGAUUUAUCGCUUUAAGAUUGGCCCGCGGAAGAUUAGGUAGUUGGUGGGGUAAAGGCCUACCAAGCCGACGAUCUAUAGCUGGUCUGAGAGGACGAACAGCCACAUUGGAACUGAGACACGGUCCAGACUCCUACGGGAGGCAGCAGUGAGGAAUAUUGGGCAAUGGAGGAAACUCUGACCCAGCCAUGCCGCGUGAGUGAAGAAGGUUUUCGAAUUGUAAAGCUCUUUCGGAUGGGACGAUGAUGACGGUACCAUCUAAAGAAGCCCCGGCAAACUUCGUGCCAGCAGCCGCGGUAAUACGAAGGGGGCAAGCGUUGUUCGGAAUUACUGGGCGUAAAGGGUGUGUAGGCGGAUUUGUAAGAUAGUGGUGAAAUACCUGAGCUCAACUUAGGAAUUGCCAUUAUAACUAUAGAUCUGGAGUGACAGAGAGGAUAUUGGAAUACCCAGUGUAGAGGUGAAAUUCGUAGAUAUUGGGUAGAACACCAGUGGCGAAGGCGAGUAUCUGGCUGUCAACUGACGCUGAGGCACGAAAGCAUGGGGAUCAAACAGGAUUAGAUACCCUGGUAGUCCAUGCUGUAAACGAUGAAUGCUAGUUGUCGGCAAAAGCCGGUGACGCAGUUAACGCGAUAAGCAUUCCGCCUGGGGAGUACGGUCGCAAGAUUAAAACUCAAAGGAAUUGACGGGGACCCGCACAAGCGGUGGAGCAUGUGGUUUAAUUCGAUGCAACGCGAAGAACCUUACCAACUCUUGACAUCCUCAUCGGGGCUUUCAGAGAUGAGAGCUUUCAGUUAGGCUGGAUGAGUGACAGAUGCUGCAUGGCUGUCGUCAGCUCGUGUCGUGAGAUGUUGGGUUAAGUCCCGCAACGAGCGCAACCCCUGCUACCAGUUGCCAUCAAGUAAAGUUGGGCACUCUGGUGGGACUGCCGGUGACAAGCCGGAGGAAGGUGGGGAUGACGUCAAGUCAUCAUGGCUCUUACGAGUUGGGCUACACACGUGCUACAAUGGCAACUACAGAGAGGAGCUAAGUCGUGAGGCUGCGCCAAUCUUAAAAAGUUGUCUCAGUUCGGAUUGUUCUCUGCAACUCGAGAACAUGAAGUUGGAAUCGCUAGUAAUCGCGGAACAGCAUGCCGCGGUGAAUACGUUCCCGGGUCUUGUACACACCGCCCGUCACGCCAUGGGAGUUGGUUCUGCCUGACGGCGUUGAGGUAACCUGAGCAAUCAGGAGCCUGGCGACCACGGUAGGGUCAGCAACUGGGGCAAGUCGUAACAAUGUAGCCGGAAGGGCCAAUUCCCGGCCGCCUAAUUCAAUCGCCCUAUGUGGCCGAUUCAUCAGGGGGGGGGGGGGGUGAUAGAAA